rnacentral:rRNA from 1 species
GGGCCCGCACAAGCGGUGGAGUAUGUGGUUUAAUUCGAUGCAACGCGAAGAACCUUACCAGGGUUUGACAUCCUGCGAAUCUCUUGGAAACAGGAGAGUGCCUUCGGGAACGCAGUGACAGGUGGUGCAUGGCUGUCGUCAGCUCGUGUCGUGAGAUGUUGGGUUAAGUCCCGUAACGAGCGCAACCCUUGUCCUUAGUUGCCAGCACGUAAUGGUGGGAACUCUAUGGAAACUGCCCGUGAUAAGCGGGAGGAAGGUGUGGAUGACGUCAAGUCCUCAUGGCCCUUACGGGUUGGGCUACACACGUGCUACAAUGGUAGUGACAAUGGGUUAAAUCCCAAAAAGCUAUCUCAGUUCGGAUUGUCGUCUGCAACUCGACGGCAUGAAGUCGGAAUCGCUAGUAAUCG